CUGCAUUAUGCACUUGGAGAUUUGUAGAGAACAGAACAAUAAUUUUUAUUUGAGAACAGAAAAAUAAUUUUUUAUUUCAUGUAUUUCCGGUUCUGUUUUAAGUCUGGAGUGAUUAUGUGGGAAGUAUGAAACAUGCCUCAACCCACAAUGGUCUUACUACCCGAUUGAAGAAGAUAGGCUUUUAAAAGAAAAAAUCUUAUAAUGCUGUAAUAUGAACAGCAUGUAAUGAAGUGCGGCAACAUUGACUCAUAAGUGCACAGAGGUGGGGACAGCCAUGGAAGGAUGAGAGGUUGGGUGAGGCUCUCCAGGGCCCUCAGAGCUCUAAAGACACUGAAAGAUUUGGAAUGACAAACAAAGAGAGACGCUGUUCUGACUGGGAAACAGCCUCAAUAAAAUACAGAGUACACAUGGAAUAUGAGGGCUCCGUAAAGGGACCCUCAUGUUCCCCACUUCAGUCACAGAAAGUAAACAACUCCCAAUAAAACGUUUUCUGCAAAUAAAAUAACCAGUACUUCUCUUGAGGGGGUCCACAAGGAGCACUUUUACAGAUGGAUGAAUUGGCAGCUAUGUUUUGUUUGGUAAAACAGAAACCAGCAGGCAAACAUCCUGAUAUUAACUCAGGAACAUCUCCAGCCACAACAUUUUCAUUUGUUCUUACGUAUUCUUAGACCAGAUGAAGUGGAUUUUUCCCUUACAAAGGAAUUCGGAAUGUAUACUAAGGAAACCAUUCCCUUCUGGGAUCCAAUCUAGUCCUUGUUUGGGAAACAAAAUGUGAAACAUAUCCAGGUGGCUGAAAGAGAAGAGACAUCCUGACAAUACUCUUCAGAAGGCUCCCUGGAUCCUCCCUUCCUCCACGUCAUUUUACCAGCCCUUGAAAAUGUACUUUUCUCCCAAAUAAGGAUACUUAUAUUCGCAUUCUGUAAGCAGUCCUAGUCUUAGUGAGAGAAGGCAUGCGCAUACCAUCCCAAGCAUGCGCUGCAGAACAAGAGAUCAGCGUGCUUCCCCUCAAAGGCCUAUUCCCACGGGCCUUUCCCGUGUCCCCUCUUGUCACCACUACUCAUAUCUCUAUAUUUCACACCAAAGCCAGUGGAAGCCAAUGGAAGUUCCACAGUCUGCCUAGAUUCCGUAAGGGUCUGAUCAUCCAAGGGCAAGAACAAAUUGCUGGCAAACAGUCACACACAUGUUUGUAAUCACUGACAUUUGCACUGCUACAAAUAAAGAAUGCAUUUCUCCUACACAUGUACAUUGAAGAUGGUUAGGAAAAUCUGUUUUGAGUUAAGCUUCUUUUCUUUGAUAUGCAUUUCCAAUUACUAAACCAAUGCUGCUUUAAUUUUGUUUGUAGGAAGCUGAACUGACACGAAACAAAAGAAGUCCGUUGUUUUGGAUUGAGUUCCAUACUUGGCUGGCCCAGAGGUUGAUCUCACCACCAUUCAGAUAUCCAAGAAGAAGCCACCUGUUGGAUUUAAGAAAACCCAAUCCCUGACUUACACCCUGACUUGUAAUCUGGAACCACGCAGAGAUUUUCAAUGACAAUGUGGGGAAACAGAAUUUGUCUGAACUUUGGUGAUUUUGAAUGAAGUUUAUAUAAUAAUUAAAGCCAGGGCAGAUUUGGCAGUCUUCUUGAAAGGAAGUAAUGCUUAUUGUGGUCAGAAGAAAGAGUGAGGCAACUCAGGGUCUGAAAAAAGAGACAUGAAGAAAGCUGAGGACCAAUCCAUUCCAAGGUUCACUGUGGAAAUGGGGCCCAACCCUUAAAAGGU
rnacentral:lncRNA from 1 species